GCUUCGGUGGUGUAACGGUUUAGCACAUUCUCCCUGAAAGAGUAAGAUGUGGGUUCGAUUUCCCGGCUGACGCA